rnacentral:rRNA from 1 species
CGCGUAGGCGGACACUUAAGUCAGGGGUGAAAUCCCGGGGCUCAACCCCGGAAUUGCCUUUGAUACUGGGUGUCUUGAGUACGGGAGAGGUGUGUGGAACUCCGAGUGUAGAGGUGAAAUUCGUAGAUAUUCGGAAGAACACCAGUGGCGAAGGCGACACACUGGCCCGUUACUGACGCUGAGGCGCGAAAGCGUGGGGAGCAAACA